rnacentral:rRNA from 1 species
UACGUAGGGGCAAGCGUUGUCCGGAAUCAUUGGGCGUAAAGAGCGUGUAGGCGGCCCGGUAAGUCCGCUGUGAAAGUCCAGGGCUCAACCCUGGGAUGCCGGUGGAUACUGUCGGGCUCGAGUCCGGAAGAGGAGAGUGGAAUUCCUGGUGUAGCGGUGAAAUGCGCAGAUAUCAGGAAGAACACCUAUGGCGAAGGCAGCUCUCUGGGACGGUACUGACGCUGAGACGCGAAAGCGUGGGGAGCGAACAGG